rnacentral:rRNA from 1 species
GAUGAACGCUGGCGGCGUGCCUAAUACAUGCAAGUCGAGCGAACAGACGAGGAGCUUGCUCCUCUGACGUUAGCGGCGGACGGGUGAGUAACACGUGGAUAACCUACCUAUAAGACUGGGAUAACUUCGGGAAACCGGAGCUAAUACCGGAUAAUAUAUUGAACCGCAUGGUUCAAUAGUGAAAGACGGUUUUGAUGUCACUUAUAGAUGGAUCCGCGCCGCAUUAGCUAGUUGGUAAGGUAACGGCUUACCAAGGCAACGAUGCGUAGCCGACCUGAGAGGGUGAUCGGCCACACUGGAACUGAGACACGGUCCAGACUCCUACGGGAGGCAGCAGUAGGGAAUCUUCCGCAAAGGGCGAAAGCUUGACGGAGCAACGCCGCGUGAGUGAUGAAGGUCUUCGGAUCGUAAAACUCUGUUAUUAGGGAAGAACAAAUGUGUAAGUAACUAUGCACGUCUUGACGGUACCUAAUCAGAAAGCCACGGCUAACUACGUG